AUUCUUCCAGUCAUGCUAUAUGGCUAUGAAUUCUGCAAUAUCACAGUCAUUCAAGAUCAAAAUUGCAUGUCAUCCAAGUUAUAGUGGACAGAUGCAUGGAGGGCAUAUGGCUUAUAAAAAUAUAAUAAGAGUAACUCGAAGAGGAACAGAAGGAAACUGGAGAAAUCUGAAAAGCCAAUUAGAGGGCACACUGUUUACUAAGUCUCUGGAUAGUGGCUGCUGGACGAGACUAGGCAAGUUGCUUGACUUCUGGGCUCUUGUCAAGGUUGGGAAUACUAAUGACAGUACUGAAGCAAUUUUAUUGUUGAUGACUAUUACUACAGAAGAAUAUUAUCAGUGUUGGAUGGGAGAUUGGAAUUUUAAUGGAUGUUUUAUAAAUGUGGACAUUACAUGUUUGAAAAUUAGGAAACAAACUAGAUGAAACACUUUUAUGAUGUUGUUCCCCAGCUCAAGAAUAUACAAUGGCUCCCUAUCACAGGAAUCAACUCAAACGCCUUAUCUUAGCAUCCAAUGUUCUUUACAGUUUGUCCCCACCUAACCUAUCCACUUCAAUUCUUUGCCUUUUGGGAUAAUUGGGCUAGUUUCUUCUAGCUUACAUUCUCUAAACAUUUCGUACACAUUCCCAACUCCAAGCAUUUGCUCAUGCUAUAACCAUUCCUAAAAUGCUCUUCCCACUCCUUUCUACCUUCAACAACUAACUUUUAUGCUUGUAUCCUCAGGGCCUAGAAUAAGGCCUAGCACAUAUACUUUUAAUCAAUGCUCAUUGAAUGAAAUAAAAUUCAGGAGUGUUUUAAUCGACUUAUAUUU
rnacentral:lncRNA from 1 species